ACUUUACGGUUUUGUAAUUGGAAUGAGUUAAGUAUAAACCCCUUUACAAGUAUCAAUUGGAGGGCAAGUCUGGUGCCAGCAGCCGCGGUAAUUCCAGCUCCAAUAGCGUAUAUUAAAGUUGUUGCAGUUAAAAAGCUCGUAGUUGGAUUUCUGUUAAUACCUUAUAUAUAAUAUUUUUUUUUAAAUAUUAUUAUGUAAGAUUAACAUAAUUCAUAUUUUUUAAGACUGAAUUUUUAGUUUUGAUAAUAUGAAAUUUUA
rnacentral:rRNA from 1 species